ACUCUCUGUGCGUGGCUUCUUCAGAGUUCCCCUAUAACAAUGCUGGUGCUUAUUGGCCAGGAAUUCAUCGCAGGGACCGCCGAGACGGUGAUAUUUUACCCACCUCUCCACAGCAACACCCCUGGACCAAUACUGCGUGGACUUCCUUUCGUCUCUGCGCCACUGGGCCUUCUUCGUCCAGGGGUGUCUUGGGUGUGUCCAUCGAUGAAUUCUGAUCCUGGGUCCAGG